rnacentral:lncRNA from 1 species
CAGGGAGACAGGAAGGAAUACCUGGGCCCACACCAGAGGCCACCCCUGGCCUCAGAUCAAUAUGCCUACUGUAAAAAAAAAACACUAAGCCAAAGAGUGCCCUAAAAAGAGACAGCCACGCCAGCCAGCCAUUCUGACUCUGGAGGAUGACUAAAAAUGUCAGGGCUCAGAUCCCCUCCCCGAGCUCGGGGUAACUUUUGAAGUGGAGGGGACCCCAGUAAACUUUGAAGUGGAUACAGGGGCAGUAUACUCAGUCCUUAAGGCCCCAUUGGGCCCUCUAUUAAAUAAAAGGUCUCUAAUUCAAGGGACUAACAGCAGUAAAUAUCGGGCUUGGACAACUAAGAAGACCAUGGACCUGGGGAAAGGAAAAAUCCAUCACUCCUUACUAGUAAUCCCAGAAUGCCCAGCCCCAUUGAUAGGCAGAAAUCUGCUCACCAAGCUCCAGGCCAAAAUAACUUUUAACCCUGAAGGUCCCCAAAUGAAAUUUCUAAAUCCUUCAGUAAAAAUUCCUAUAGUCAUGGCUUUAACUAUGUCAGUAAAAGAUGAACAUCAACUCUUCACACCCCCCAAGACUGAUCAAACAGUCAAGCUACCCCAGAAAUGGAUAACAGAUUACCCAGAUGCCUGGGCAGAAAUUGCUAGGUUGGGCCUAGCCGUGAAACAACCUCCAAUAACAGUGGAGUUAAAAACCUCAGCCUCCCCAAUCAAUGUCAAACAAUAUCCUCUGGAAAAAAAACAACUAAAGAUGGGAUAAGGCCCCAUAUUCAGAAAUAUCUGGCCUUAGGGGUCCUAAGGCCCUGUCAAUCAGCCUGGAACACUCCCCUGCUACCAGUAAGAAAAGCCAGGAACUGGGGACUAUCACCCCAUUCAAGACCUAAAAGAGAUCAACAACAGAGUGCAGGACAUUCACCCCAUGGUACCUAAUCCGUACAAUCUGCUUAACACUCUAAACCCUGAGAGAAAAUGGUAUAUGGUAUACUGUUCUGGACUUAAAGGAUGCUUUCUUUUGCUUGCCUCUGCAUAAAGAUAGUCAGUUGCUGUUUGCUUUCGAGUGGGUAAACCCAGAAACUGGAACGUCUGAUCAACUAACUUGGACCAGACACCAACAGGGGUUCAAAAACUCCCCCACUCUCUUUGAUGAAGCCCUCCACAGAGAUCUCAAUAACUUUAGAACUAUGCACCCUGAAGUAACCCUGCUUCAAUAUGUGGAUGACCUGCUACUGGCAGCAGACACCAAGGAAAACUGUGAGUCUGGUACCCAAGCACUAUUAUCCGAGCUUGCUCAACUCGGAUAUAAAGCUUCUGCCAAAAAGGCCCAAAUUUGCCAGCAAGAAGUAAUCUUCCUGGACUAUUCCCUUAGGGCUGGUAAACGAUGGCUCACUGAGCUCAGAAAACAAACCAUUGUGCAGAUACCGCCCCCAUCUAACAGGAGGGUGGAUGAAGAGGCUACAUUGGCAGCCCUAAACGGAGUAACCAUGUUAACACCUUCCACACCGGGGGAACAUAAGUCAGGAGAUUUAACUACGUCAGAGCACCCCAACAACUUAACAUCUAAGGACACUGACAUUGAACUCCUCGACUUCACUGAGCCCAGCCUGCAAUUUCAGAAAGUACCUAUGAGGAACCAGACCAGGACAAUUCUGGGAAAUGGACUUUACUGAAAUUAAGCCAGCAAGGUAUGGACUUAAAUAUCUCCUAAUCUUUGUAGAUACAUUUUCAGGAUGGAUUAAAGCCUUCCCCACAAAAAAAAAAAGAUGCAAAUCGUGGUCAAAAAGAUCCUGGAAGAUAUUUUUCCAGGAUACAGCCUGCCUAAGGUAAUAGGGUCUGAUAAUGGACCGGCAUUCGUGGCCCAGGUAAGUCAGGGGUUGGCCAGGACCCUGGGGAUUAAUUGGAAGUUACAUUGUGCUUAUAAACCCCA